AUUGAACGCUGGCGGCAGGCUUAACACAUGCAAGUCGAACGAGUGGCGGACGGGUGAGUAAUGUCUGGGAAACUGCCCGAUGGAGGGGGAUAACUACUGGAAACGGUAGCUAAUACCGCAUACCAUCGGAUGUGCCCAGCUGGGAUUAGCUAGUAGGUGGGGUAACGGCUCACCUAGGCGACGAUCCCUAGCUGGUCUGAGAGGAUGACCAGCAACAGUGGAAAUGAGAAACGGGCCAGACGCCUAAGGUAGGAAGCAGUGGGGAAUAUUGCACAUUGGGCGCAAGCCGGAUGCAGCAAUGCCGCGUGUGUGAAGAAGGCAUUCGGGUUGUAAAGUACUUUCAGCGAGGAGGCGUUACUCGCAGAAGAAGCACCGGCUAACUCCGUGCCAGCCGCCGCGGUAAUAC
rnacentral:rRNA from 1 species